GUCGUGGUCGUCGUAGGAGGUCGCCGAACUCCCGCCGCCGUUGUUGAUGAUGAGCUCCGUGGUGGCGCUCAUGGAGGUCAACAGCUCCGGGUUGUUUCUGGAGUUGGAGUUGGAAGAAGACAUGACCCUCUUCUUCAGGAAGGCCAAGAAUGGAGAGCCAGGAGGGACACAAGCAAGAGACAGAACAGUUAGGAUCCAGAAGGAUUUGCAUUGCAAGGAUCAACAAGAUGAAAAUGCUACUUGGCAAGGCGCACCAAAUAUAUAAACAAGGACCUUCCGGACACAAGUGAGCCAUGUUGAGGAACUUUGGGUGCUAAUCACAAUGUUCGUUCCUUCCACAUUCACCCAGUGUUGGAACAGCUGAGUUUCUUCUUCAGGUCAUGCUGCGGGCGUAUUCACCUAUUCGUUAAGCCGUAGAACGGUGGAGAUCGCGUCAAUUGAGACUGUUUUGUGUGAUCUUGGUGAUAUGUGGCACUGGGCUACUGGACUUAGAUCAUGCUAAAUUGCAAAGGAGAUGCUACCUGUUUCAGUUGGCAGUUCACAUCAUCAUGCAUCCCUGAAGACUUUGUCCUUUCUUCACACUUGUUGUUUUCAGGAAAUCUUAGUGUGUAUCACUGUAUGGGUCCAUCCAUUUUUCCUUUAAUCUCUGCUCAAGUUCCUCACUCAUGAAAAAGAAAGACCUCCUCUACAGUGGCAGAAAAACAGAACAAAAGUUUGGCUCAUGCAAAACAAAUGUUUAAGAUUCCUUCGCAUUAAUAACUGUUUUGCUUUAAGAUCCGUGUAAA